ACACUUCAUUCAUCCUUUUCAAAUUCAAAGUUUCAUUUCAUUUAAACGAGAAGCGAAGAAAAAUAAAAAACACUCUCAACACUUGUUAAAGACUACUACUACUGCUUGCUACUUACCAAAAUCAUCAAACACAUUACAAGAAAAAGAAGAAGAAAGCAAAGAAAUGGCUUCAUGGGUUCGUACAAUCAAAGCUCCAUUCAAGAAGUUGUUCAAUCAACAACAAAGCAACUCAAGAGAUAAGAAAUCUCAACAAGAACAUGAUAAUCGAAUAGUAAUGGAUUUGCAAGGAGAAGUGAUGGCGUGCGCAUACGAAGACGUUCAAGUUAUGUGGUCGAUGCUUGAUAAAUCCAAGCAAAGAGUUUGCACCGUUAAUUAGUUCUGACGAUAUAUCAACUAUGGCGAAGCUGAUCAUCUAUUCAUGGCCAUAUCAUUGAUAAAGAAAAUCAUAUUGGCAUGCGUAUAUGUCUGCAAACAAUCUGUAUAGUUAAUUUAUAGCUAGGAAUCCAAAAAAGAAGAAAAAAAAAGAGAGGAAGAGUACUUGAAGAUCAGAUGAUGGUGAUGGCAUAUAAGAUAAUAGCAACUUAAUUCAUGCUUUUAUUUUAUACCUUGUAGCUGUUUAAUUCAUAGCCGUCCUAUUAAUUUUGAUGUUUGGUAUUAUAUAGCAAAUCCCCAUGGUUUAUAUUGAAAUUUAUCAUGGUGUGAUUUAAUGGAUAAGAAGGAAAAAGAAACAGUGGAUUUUGUUUUUUCAUACAA